CCGCCCGCCGCCACCGCCCUCUCCUGCGUCGCGCGCCCGUCGCCGCCUCGCGCCCUCAUGUCCCCGCCUCCGCCGCCUCACGCCCUCACGCGUGCGCCGCCAACCGGCGCCCGACGCCGCGCCGCGCCUCGCGCCCUCACGCACAUGCCUUCCAGAGCCUGGCGCCGCCGCCCUCGCGCCCCGCAUUUAAAUUGGCCUAAGCUGAUCUACUGUCAUCUUCAAAUGAUUAGAACUUCCCAGGUAAGCAUUUAAAUUGAAUAUAGAUCCAUGCUUCACUAUUUAAUAGUUUACUACUCUAUGUAAGUAUCACCUAUGUUGAUGAUUGUGGUUUCUGAAAAUUAACAAUUCUCAAUGCUGACACUAUCACAUUGCUAGCCAACCCAUUUCCUUUUUGUUCUGAAUUUCAAUUUGCAUUUGAUAAUCCUCUUCUGGAUGUCGUAUUAAGUCGUGUAAACUGCAACAAGGUUACUUUUAUAAAGAUUAUUGGAGUACCUAAUGAAUCUAUGUGCUUGUAUAUACUCGGAGAUAAGGGUUUGUCUUCUCUAGGGAAGGAGCUCGUUCUCUUCUCAUAAUGGAAGAGUUGCAUAAGAAGAACGGCAUUAGAAAUGGUAAGUGGUAGUGAAGGAAUUUAUAUACAGUUUCUGAUGGGAAAGGAGAACAUGGUCCUGAAAAAUUGAAGGUGUCGUUCUUAUUUGUCUUACUGGUUCUGAUUGCCAUUUUUUUCGAGGAUAAUAUGGAUGCUAUCUCCGUUGAUUCAGAAGUAAUUCAACCUCUUGCAUUUCUGUUUCUAUCUCAUGUAAAAUCCCUCUCAUGAGAUCCACUCUAUAACCAGUUUUACUAAUAUGUUUUGACUACCUCUUGGAGCAGCAUUUGACAGAAAAGAGAAAGAAGACUCAGUUUUACAAAUAUGAUGCAUGCAUUAGUUUUCCCAUGAAGAGAGCUUUCCAAAACAGCAGCGAACAGUCCAAAGGCCUACCUGAGCUCCUCAUUCUUUCUGUUGGUAUUCUAGCAUCUGUGCUUAAUGUUUGCUAUAGUAUUUGCAUGUUUGCAUUUGAGCCUUGCAGAAAAUAGAC
rnacentral:lncRNA from 1 species